rnacentral:lncRNA from 1 species
UUCCGGGAAGGAGAGCGGAGCAUUUGCCUGUUAGGGUUGAUUGACCGCGUCCCAAAUUUACGAGUCCGAAGCAGAGUGGAGUUGUUUUUCACGUUUGUUUAACAUUUUAGAGAUUACAGUGCGCUUUUACAAACGCUAGAUCCUUACAAAAACCCUAUGAGGUAGGAAUUAUUGUCUUGCGUUUUGUAGGUGAGAAAAUUGCCCGCAGUGACCAGCCCCAAAUUUUUACACUUAGACUCAGGGAUGGAGCUUGAAUCCAAGUCCUGGUUCAAGUCCGAGUUUCUUCUGCUACACGGUAGCUGAAAAGUACUAAUUCUUAAUCAUAUGUUGUGUACUUAUUUACAAUUUCAUUGUACUUUUUUCCAGCCCGACUUACCUCCUCCAUAUACUUGUUUGGGGGGGGGGGGGGCUGUAAGCAAGUUCUAUAAUAAUUGUAAAAAAGUUAAUAGCCAGAGGAACUGGCAUCAAGUACUGACUACCAACAACACUCGUUCUCCAUUUCACAGCUCCAGUUCCCUUUCCUCUGGAUAGGAAGGUAAGAUACCCCCUCGGUGAAGGUCUGCCCAACUUGAAAUAUCUGAACUUAGUCCACUUGCUCAGGUAAUGUGGAGGAUCAGAGUAUUUGAAACAGUCCUCUGGUUUCCAUUUUAGCUCCAUAAACUUAGAUUUUCCUUUGAGGUAGCCAAGCCAACGGCAAAUAGAUAGAAAAGGAUCUUUCUGUCACUGUCUCCAACUUUCUACCUAAGAAUUCCCGGAAUCUUCAGAAUAAAAAGGCCAUUCGUUAUGACACCAUUUUCAGAAGGGCAGACAAACUCCCUGGAUUCAGAGCCUGUCUCUAUCAUUUAUUAGCUGUAUAAUCUUUUAGGCCAGUUAACCUAACACUACCAUGCCUUCUUUUUUGGCAUCUGUAAAAUGGGGUUGUUAUGAAGGUAACAUGUAAACUACUAAAUAGUAACCAGAAUGUUGCUUAAUAAAAUGUUAGUAUUGGCAUUACUACUUUUCCCAACUUUUCAUGUCUUCACGCUCACCUUGUACCAUGGAAAACAAUAAAUAAAUAUGUUGGUCUCUGCCUCCUGUUUCUGACACUGGGCUCCUGAAAAUCUUGUCAAUUCCCAAGUGAUAGGUGCAUUGGAAGCAUCUUUUGUUUUGUGAGGGGACUCUGGAUGGGUUCUUAGAUGUGGUCUGGUCUCCAGGUAGAUAAAGCCUGAUUAGAAGCUUGGAAUUUUCAGCCCCUCCUCCCAUUCUAUAGAGAGGGGAGAAAGGCCGGAAAUGGGGUCAAUUGAUCACACCUACAUGAGGAAGACUUAAUAAAAUCCCAGUAGUAUGGAGUUUGGAGAGCUUCCAGGCUGGUGAACCCAUCCACAUACCAGGAAGAUUACACACCCCAACUCCACUAGGCAGAUGCUCCUACACUCCCAGACUUUCCCUGUGUAUCUGUUCAUCUGGUUGUUCAGGUUCUUCAUCUUUAUCCUUUACCAUAUCCUUUAAUAAACGGAGUUCUGUGAGUUGUUCUAUCCAAUAAUCAAAUUGAAGGGGAGGAGGUUAUGGAAACCUCCAGUUUAUAGCCAUGUUGGACAAAAGUUGUGGGUAACCCAGGCACUUAAUUACUUGCAAUUGGCAUCUGAACGGGGGCAGUCUUGUGGGACUGAGCCCUUAACCUGUGGGAUCAGAUGCUGUCUCCAGGUGUUGUCUCCAGUUUGACAGAGUCAGAAUUGAGCUAAAUCGUAGGAGACCCAGCUAGUGUCACAGAAUUGCUUGGUGAGGGAAAAACCCACAUCUGGUUUUAGAAGCGUUGUGAGUGUGGCAGUAGUGUGAAAAUAAAGGAGAAACAGAAAUGAGACCAGGUUUUUCCCUUUACAUACUGUAACCAUACUGUUGAUUCUCUGAGCAAUUAGUACUUCUCAGUCUUUCUGUGCAUAAGUAACUUGUUUUAUCUGCCUAUAAUUUGCAGUUUCUUACAUAUUCUCCCAAUUGACUCAAAUAUUUUUUUCAAGAAUCUUGGAGUUCCUGUUGUGGCGCAGUGGCUAAUGAAUCCGAUUAGGAACCAUGAGGUUUCGGGUUCGAUCCCGGGCCUUGCUCCUAGACUGCAGACGUGGCUUGGAUCCCGCAUUGCUGUGGCUCUGACGUAGGCCGGCGGCAAUAGCUCCAAUUCAACCACUAGCCGGGGAACCUCCAUAUGCCAUGGGAGCGGCCCUAGAAAAGGC